rnacentral:rRNA from 1 species
CUGCUGCCUCCCGUAGGAGUUUGGGCCGUGUCUCAGUCCCAAUGUGGCCGUUCACCCUCUCAGGCCGGCUACUGAUCGUCGCCUUGGUGGGCUGUUACCCCGCCAACAAGCUAAUCAGACGCGGAUCCAUCGUAUACCACCGGAGUUUUUCACACCGUCUCAUGCGAGACUGUGCGCUUAUGCGGUAUUAGCACCUAUUUCUAAGUGUUAUCCCCCUAGUACUACGGCCAGGUUAUCCCACGCGUUACUCACCCGUCCG